GAUGAACGCUGGCGGCGUGCCUAAUACAUGCAAGUCGAGCGAACAGACGAGGAGCUUGCUCCUCUGACGUUAGCGGCGGACGGGUGAGUAACACGUGGAUAACCUACCUAUAAGACUGGGAUAACUUCGGGAAACCGGAGCUAAUACCGGAUAAUAUAUUGAACCGCAUGGUUCAAUAGUGAAAGACGGUUUUGCUGUCACUUAUAGAUGGAUCCGCGCCGCAUUAGCUAGUUGGUAAGGUAACGGCUUACCAAGGCAACGAUGCGUAGCCGACCUGAGAGGGUGAUCGGCCACACUGGAACUGAGACACGGUCCAGACUCCUACGGGAGGCAGCAGUAGGGAAUCUUCCGCAAUGGGGGAAAGCCUGACGGAGCAACGCCGCGUGAGUGAUGAAGGUCUUCGGAUCGUAAAACUCUGUUAUUAGGGAAGAACAAAUGUGUAAGUAACUAUGCACGUCUUGACGGUACCUAAUCAGAAAGCCACGGCUAACUACGUG
rnacentral:rRNA from 1 species